GGGAAUGUGGCUCAGUGGUAGAGUACUUGCCUAGCAUGCAUGAAACCCUGAGUUCAAUUCCUCAGUACCA
rnacentral:tRNA from 1 species